AGUCGACGAUGAAGCUUAAUGAUCUCUUCGGAGUGACCUUAAGUGGAUUAGUGGCGGACGGGUGAGUAACGCGUGAGUAACCUGCCUUGCACAAGGGGAUAGCCGUUGGAAACGACGAAUAAUACCCUAUGAUAUGAUAGUCUCGCAUGAGAUUAUCAUCAAAGAUUUAUCGGUGUAAGAUGGACUCGCGUCUGAUUAGCUAGUUGGUGGGGUAACAGCCUACCAAGGCAACGAUCAGUAGCCGGCUUGAGAGAGUGUACGGCCACAUUGGGACUGAGACACGGUCCAGACUCCUACGGGAGGCAGCAGUGGGGAAUUUUGCACAAUGGGGGAAACCCUGAUGCAGCGACGCCGCGUGAUUUAGAAGGCCUUCGGGUUGUAAAAAUCUUUUGUAUGGGAAGAAAAUGACAGUACCAUACGAAUAAGGACCGGCUAAUUACGUGCCAGCAGCCGCGGUAAUACGUAAGGUCCGAGCGUUGUCCGGAAUCAUUGGGCGUAAAGGGUACGUAGGCGGAUAAGCAAGUUAGAAGUGAAAUCCUAUAGCUCAACUAUAGUAAGCUUUUAAAACUGCUCAUCUUGAGGUAUGGAAGGGAAAGUGGAAUUCCUAGUGUAGCGGUGAAGUGCGCAGAUAUUAGGAGGAAUACCGGUGGCGAAGGCGACUUUCUGGCCAUAAACUGACGCUGAGGUACGAAAGCGUGGGUAGCAAACAGGAUUAGAUACCCUGGUAGUCCACGCCGUAAACGAUGAGUGUUAGGUGUCUGGAAUAAUCUGGGUGCCGCAGCUAACGCAAUAAACACUCCGCCUGGGGAGUACGCACGCAAGUGUGAAAC
rnacentral:rRNA from 1 species